GACGAACGCUGGCGGCGUGCCUAAUACAUGCAAGUUGAGCGCUGAAGGCUGGUACUUGUACCAACUGGAUGAGCAGCGAACGGGUGAGUAACGCGUGGGGAAUCUGCCUUUGAGCGGGGGACAACAUUUGGAAACGAAUGCUAAUACCGCAUAAAAUCUUUAAACACAAGUUUUAAGUUUGAAAGAUGCAAUUGCAUCACUCAAAGAUGAUCCCGCGUUGUAUUAGCUAGUUGGUGAGGUAAAGGCUCAACAAGGCGAUGAUACAUAGCCGACCUGAGAGGGGGAUCGGCCACAUUGGGACUGAGACACGGCCCAAACUCCUACGGGAGGCAGCAGUAGGGAAUCUUCGGCAAUGGACGAAAGUCUGAACGAGCAACGCCGCGUGAGUGAAGAAGGUUUUCGGAUCGUAAAACUCUGUUGGUAGAGAAGAACGUUGGUGAGAGUGGAAAGCUCAUCAAGUGACGGUAACUACCCAGAAAGGGACGGCUAACUACGUG
rnacentral:rRNA from 1 species